GGGUUGUGAGGUUAAGCGACUAAGCGUACACGGUGGAUGCCCUGGCAGUCAGAGGCGAUGAAGGACGUGCUAAUCUGCGAUAAGCGUCGGUAAGGUGAUAUGAACCGUUAUAACCGGCGAUUUCCGAAUGGGGAAACCCAGUGUGAUUCGUCACACUAUCAUUAACUGAAUCCAUAGGUUAAUGAGGCGAACCGGGGGAACUGAAACAUCUAAGUACCCCGAGGAAAAGAAAUCAACCGAGAUUCCCCCAGUAGCGGCGAGCGAACGGGGAGCAGCCCAGAGCCUGAAUCAGUGUGUGUGUUAGUGGAAGCGUCUGGAAAGGCGCGCGAUACAGGGUGACAGCCCCGUACACAAAAAUGCACAUGCUGUGAGCUCGAUGAGUAGGGCGGGACACGUGGUAUCCUGUCUGAAUAUGGGGGGACCAUCCUCCAAGGCUAAAUACUCCUGACUGACCGAUAGUGAACCAGUACCGUGAGGGAAAGGCGAAAAGAACCCCGGCGAGGGGAGUGAAAAAGAACCUGAAACCGUGUACGUACAAGCAGUGGGAGCACGCUUAGGCGUGUGACUGCGUACCUUUUGUAUAAUGGGUCAGCGACUUAUAUUCUGUAGCAAGGUUAACCGAAUAGGGGAGCCGAAGGGAAACCGAGUCUUAACUGGGCGUUAAGUUGCAGGGUAUAGACCCGAAACCCGGUGAUCUAGCCAUGGGCAGGUUGAAGGUUGGGUAACACUAACUGGAGGACCGAACCGACUAAUGUUGAAAAAUUAGCGGAUGACUUGUGGCUGGGGGUGAAAGGCCAAUCAAACCGGGAGAUAGCUGGUUCUCCCCGAAAGCUAUUUAGGUAGCGCCUCGUGAAUUCAUCUCCGGGGGUAGAGCACUGUUUCGGCAAGGGGGUCAUCCCGACUUACCAACCCGAUGCAAACUGCGAAUACCGGAGAAUGUUAUCACGGGAGACACACGGCGGGUGCUAACGUCCGUCGUGAAGAGGGAAACAACCCAGACCGCCAGCUAAGGUCCCAAAGUCAUGGUUAAGUGGGAAACGAUGUGGGAAGGCCCAGACAGCCAGGAUGUUGGCUUAGAAGCAGCCAUCAUUUAAAGAAAGCGUAAUAGCUCACUGGUCGAGUCGGCCUGCGCGGAAGAUGUAACGGGGCUAAACCAUGCACCGAAGCUGCGGCAGCGACGCUUAUGCGUUGUUGGGUAGGGGAGCGUUCUGUAAGCCUGUGAAGGUGUACUGUGAGGUAUGCUGGAGGUAUCAGAAGUGCGAAUGCUGACAUAAGUAACGAUAAAGCGGGUGAAAAGCCCGCUCGCCGGAAGACCAAGGGUUCCUGUCCAACGUUAAUCGGGGCAGGGUGAGUCGACCCCUAAGGCGAGGCCGAAAGGCGUAGUCGAUGGGAAACAGGUUAAUAUUCCUGUACUUGGUGUUACUGCGAAGGGGGGACGGAGAAGGCUAUGUUGGCCGGGCGACGGUUGUCCCGGUUUAAGCGUGUAGGCUGGUUUUCCAGGCAAAUCCGGAAAAUCAAGGCUGAGGCGUGAUGACGAGGCACUACGGUGCUGAAGCAACAAAUGCCCUGCUUCCAGGAAAAGCCUCUAAGCAUCAGGUAACAUCAAAUCGUACCCCAAACCGACACAGGUGGUCAGGUAGAGAAUACCAAGGCGCUUGAGAGAACUCGGGUGAAGGAACUAGGCAAAAUGGUGCCGUAACUUCGGGAGAAGGCACGCUGAUAUGUAGGUGAAGCGACUUGCUCGUGGAGCUGAAAUCAGUCGAAGAUACCAGCUGGCUGCAACUGUUUAUUAAAAACACAGCACUGUGCAAACACGAAAGUGGACGUAUACGGUGUGACGCCUGCCCGGUGCCGGAAGGUUAAUUGAUGGGGUUAGCGCAAGCGAAGCUCUUGAUCGAAGCCCCGGUAAACGGCGGCCGUAACUAUAACGGUCCUAAGGUAGCGAAAUUCCUUGUCGGGUAAGUUCCGACCUGCACGAAUGGCGUAAUGAUGGCCAGGCUGUCUCCACCCGAGACUCAGUGAAAUUGAACUCGCUGUGAAGAUGCAGUGUACCCGCGGCAAGACGGAAAGACCCCGUGAACCUUUACUAUAGCUUGACACUGAACAUUGAGCCUUGAUGUGUAGGAUAGGUGGGAGGCUUUGAAGUGUGGACGCCAGUCUGCAUGGAGCCGACCUUGAAAUACCACCCUUUAAUGUUUGAUGUUCUAACGUUGACCCGUAAUCCGGGUUGCGGACAGUGUCUGGUGGGUAGUUUGACUGGGGCGGUCUCCUCCUAAAGAGUAACGGAGGAGCACGAAGGUUGGCUAAUCCUGGUCGGACAUCAGGAGGUUAGUGCAAUGGCAUAAGCCAGCUUGACUGCGAGCGUGACGGCGCGAGCAGGUGCGAAAGCAGGUCAUAGUGAUCCGGUGGUUCUGAAUGGAAGGGCCAUCGCUCAACGGAUAAAAGGUACUCCGGGGAUAACAGGCUGAUACCGCCCAAGAGUUCAUAUCGACGGCGGUGUUUGGCACCUCGAUGUCGGCUCAUCACAUCCUGGGGCUGAAGUAGGUCCCAAGGGUAUGGCUGUUCGCCAUUUAAAGUGGUACGCGAGCUGGGUUUAGAACGUCGUGAGACAGUUCGGUCCCUAUCUGCCGUGGGCGCUGGAGAACUGAGGGGGGCUGCUCCUAGUACGAGAGGACCGGAGUGGACGCAUCACUGGUGUUCGGGUUGUCAUGCCAAUGGCACUGCCCGGUAGCUAAAUGCGGAAGAGAUAAGUGCUGAAAGCAUCUAAGCACGAAACUUGCCCCGAGAUGAGUUCUCCCUGACUCCUUGAGAGUCCUGAAGGAACGUUGAAGACGACGACGUUGAUAGGCCGGGUGUGUAAGCGCAGCGAUGCGUUGAGCUAACCGGUACUAAUGAACCGUGAGGCUUAACCUUACAACGCCGAAG
rnacentral:rRNA from 1 species